CAAAUCCUUUUGUUUUUUUUUUUCACAAUUGGCUCCCAUUAGGACCUGAACUCGAGGCCUUAAAAUCCUUAAAAUGACUCUAGUAUCACUAAGCUAAAGCUCAUUGGUGUGUAUGGCAAAUCCUUUAAAUGUACAGUUGCACACAAAUCACAAGUAGCUGAUAUUCCAGUGCAACCAUAAACAGAAAAUAAAGAGAACUCUUCUCGGAAGAACAUCUUCUGCAAACUCAUUUCAUGCAUGCUGAGAUCAG
rnacentral:misc_RNA from 1 species